GCGGCCGGCACAGCGGAGCCGCCUCCCGCCGCGCGGCCCCGCGACACGCUGGAAGCCGCCGGGCUGCUCGGGCUGGCGGUAGGUUCGCUGCGCAACAGUGACAACGACGGCAAAGCACCGACGGCCAGUGAGCUACCCCGCUUUCUCCGGGAUAGGCAUCCAUAGUUUUGGAGAUCUAAGCCAACCGAGUGUGUGCCACGAUGCCGGUGCGAGAAGCAGUUGUGGAAUGGAGCAGCAGAACCUGAGCUGAGCCCUAGCCCAGCCAAGCUGGGCAGACAGGAGCUGAGCCAAGCAUUGCAGGCCACAGUCAACCCCAGCAGGGCAGAAAGCAGGCAGCACCACACAGAGGAAUUUGGGAAUUUGUCCAUCAUUGUUUUUCGUUGUCUCAGGCUCAGGGAUGGGGAAUGCUGGCUGCGGGGUGUCCACCACCUUGUCUUUGUCUCAAGAAUAACUGAGCUGCUGCCAAGCUGCAGGAGCGUCCCCAUCUUGUCUUUGCAUCAGCAGUCACGUGGAGCUAAACUGAGGUGUUAGUGAGCACCUUUUGCAUGUAAAGAACCAUCUAUUCCAUAUACUUUUGUUACUAAUAUUGCUGCUGGUGCUGUGCAUUUCUUAUUCCACUGCUGUUUGCUUUCACUAAAUUGUUGUCUCAACUCACA